CGGGAUGUAGCGUAGCCAGGUAUCGCGUCAGCAUGGGGUGCUGAAGGUCGUGGGUUCAAAUCCCGCCAUCCCGA
rnacentral:tRNA from 1 species